rnacentral:lncRNA from 1 species
CACAUGCUUACAGUUGCAUCUUAACAAAUUUAACUCUUUUAUUUCUAUGUUGAGUUGCUAAAAUUCUAAGCUCUUAAAGACAAUAAAAGCAACAUACUGGAUUAGUCUUUUGCUCUAUUUCAAAUGUUUUAUGUUCCUAGGUUCUUAUGUUGCUCUAUUAGAAACUCACCAGAUUCAAUGUUUUUUGGUACUCACAUCACUUAUUUGUAAUAGUCUAUGUCCUAUUAUGUUGUUUAUUCAUGAAUUAUUUAUUCAUGGAUACUUCCUCUAUCUCUCCAAGAAAUGGUAGAAAAUAUCCUUUAAACCAGCACUAAGGCAUCUAUUAUGUUUUACUAAUUACUUUUUAAUUCUAAACUAACUAGAGAUAUCUAAAUUUUAUAUAUUCAUCUAUUCUGUUUCACUAUUAGUUCAAGAAUGUUAAAUUCUUGCAUUAAUAUUAGGUGUAGUUGAUAGAGUUUUUUCAUUAGCUAUCCAAAGUGAAAGACACUACUAUGAAUCCUUAUUCAUGAGUUACAGUUGAAGUUUUUUUUCUGUAAUUUCUCCUAUUUAAUGAAAUCCAUGAAGUGAUAUUAUGUCCAACUAUAAGUUGUCCCUAUAUCAUUUACACUAUAACUAUUUCUUUCCUAUAAGUUGUCCCUUUCCAUGAAGUGAUAUUAUGAAAUCCAUUUUACAAAAUGAAGACGAAACCAAUCAAUAAAAAUAGUUGUCUAUUGGUUACUCAUUCCUCCACAACUCCAUGUGAUAUACCUAAUGCCUGCUAUUUCAUUACAUCUAUCUUGAAAAGCAAUAAUUAAAUUACAAGAACAUGAUCAAACAAAAUCUCAAUAAUCAAGUAUGACAAACAAAACUAGAGAAACAUGUUCUGGUGGUAAGAAUACCAAGAUUGUCACAAUACAAAUCAGAUUCUAUAACAGAAAACCUUAUUUAAAAGGACUUUAUCUGCUCUACAAGCAAGAAUUUCGAGCAGCAAACAAGUGGUCCUAGGUCAUAGUUCACCAAUAUGAAAGCAGCGCAGCUGUAGCACUAGACAUAUCCCUAUCAUCCACUGGGUUAAAACGUUAAUAAUACAAGUGAAAAAAAACUACCUGACAUAGCAAAAAGAGGAGGACAAACUGUCAUGUUACAAAAGCUGGAUUCAGUCUUCACAAGCAAAUGUCACAUGUUAUAACAUCAUGUCUCAACUUUUGAGGCAACCCCUUUGUUUGCAUACUGGCAGAGAAAGGCAAACAAAUACUAACUGAAAGUGUUUUUUGUUUCAAAAAAGGUUGAAAAGCUUUUGCACUAAAAAGUUUUUCAAAUUUUCCUAAAAGUGAAUCACUUCUUUCUAAUAGAGUUGGCCUUUUCCUACUUUGGUGACUCGAAUCCACAAUCUUAUGGUUGGAGGUGGAGGAUCUUUAUAAUUCAUUUGUCCCUCCCUGUUGAGAAUGCAAAUCUAAACAGUCAUUGUUAGGCAAGUAAACAAGAAAAGGAAGAAAGCACAGAGAUAAGAACAGUGGUCUGACAAAUCUUUGGCUUUAAUAUAGCCCAAGAAUUGAUACAUUGAAACUACAUUAGUUCGAGGUGAGUGCUUAAGUAUAAUAUGAGUAAUAUAAGUUCCCAUAUAGCAGUAGAUACUCUAGGAUAUUUUAAGAAUGAGACGGUUGAACUAUCAGUUUGAUAAAAACAUAAAGAGAAGCCAACACCGACAUCAAAUGCUUAAGCACUUUAGAUCAGAACUGCUUUUAUGCGCUGGAAAAUAGCUGACUUUUUCAGAGUCAUUGGCCAUAAAUUUAGACAGAGCCAAUAAGUUUAAAACCUACAGAAGGAAAAUAAACACAGUUCGCCUCAAAAUUGACUGUUACUUUGUACAAGUUCAACACCGGAAAGAUUCAUUGAAGCAUUAAGCAGAAGCCAAAAACAGCAUCAAGGAAAACAUGGGAUGCUAAAAAAUUUCAACAAGCAGAAAAGAAUACCAAUGUAAUAGAGAAAAAGAGAAAGAAAUAAAAUUACAUCAAACCAAACUAAUCAAAUAUUAAGAAACAAUAUUGAAAUCAAAAAGCACAAGAAAUAAACCAAUAUUGAAAGCGUAAUUCUAACAACACCUAGGUGAAGAAAAAGAAUGAGAUUAACAUACCUCUCAGAAUAAUCAGAAGACAUGCAACAACAAUCUCCCUUUUUUAAGAACCUCUACAAUCAAGAAUCGCGUUUGUUUCACGAAACCUAGCUUCGUUUGGACAGCUUCUUCGACUCGACCAUAAAAUUGAUUUUCAAAUUUGGGUAUUUUGGUCUAUCUUUGAGAUGAAUCUAUAGGGAAACGGAGGAUUUUAAGAUGAAUCUAUUUCUGAAUUUGGAUUUUAGGAGUUAAAGAGAGGAUUUUGAGGAAUGAAUUUUGAGAGGAAAAAAUGGUGGAAAUGGGUCUCGUUCUGAAAAUCGAGUGCAGGUGAGUUUGCUGGGAAAAGGGGAAAUAAAGAUUAGUUUUAAGUUUUAUAUUAUUAAAAUUAAUCAAAAAUAAAAAAUAAAAAAUGGGGUUCAUUUGGUGGGUUUACCAAAUUAUUGGGGGGAAAGUGAAGAGGGAAUGAAAAC